GCCCCCGAGGCGUGGGAACGCUGCGCGCACCUGGGGCCCAGGAGCGGCGCUCCAGAUGGAAGAAGCCGUUGCGAGAGUGAGCGCGAGGUUGCUAACUCCGGCAGGGAGUGGGCGCGGGCGCGGGCACGGGCGCACAGGGGAGGGCGCGCUGAGGAGGGCGUGCAGGGGCGUGCUCUGGACCUCGAGUUUCCUCACCCCCUGCUGUCUCCGGAGGAGUGGGUGGAAGACCCCACAGAAUGGAACGUAGGAUGAAGCAGAGGAGGAGCAUAUGGUAAAUGACCAAAAGGAAUGGAGGGAUCAACUACAUGAGGGUUUCAGACAUCUUAGGCACAGGGUGUGAUUCUGGACACAGUGUGGCGAGGCAGCACUGUCCACAGGUUAAGAGCAUCACAGCUAAUUUCAGGCCUUGGAUAGAAAGACUGAAUCCCUUCCUCAGCCCUGGGGAACAAAUUAUUAAGCCAAUGGUUCUCAAACAUUAGUGUAUAUCACAAUCAUCUACAGGAUUUGUUAAAACAUAGAUUGCUGGACUCCACUCCUGAAAUUUCUCAUUCAUUAGGUUUUGGGAGCAUGAAGAAGUAUGAAUAUUAAGCUGCUAACUCAAGGUCCUCCAGAGAAGCCAAAGUUCUACAGUCUACGGCUCACACGGCAGUUCUGAACCGUCUAUCUCUGAGAAGACCCACCCCUUGCCGUCACUCAUCACUGCAGCCUCCUGCCAAUAGCACCUCGGACAUAAAGGGACCCAAAGUCCUACCAGGGGCAAGGUGCACAGCUCCUUCACUGAUGUGCACCUGAUGCGGGCAACCAGCUCCUGAUACACCCCCAGUGAAACUGGACAGAUUCACUCAGCACAGCGCUUCCUUUCUGGGAGCCUGAAGGGAUGGGCAGACAUGGGGAGCGCUGUGCCCUGUUUGGCAGCUACACAUACCCACUGUUUAUCCAUAGAUGUGAAGUUGAGCUAUAAGAAAACUCAGAGGGGAACAGAUUAAAAGUUUCAUAUAAUUCAACAUGGUAGAAAACGGUGUCUUGUCAUUUUAAUGUGCAUCUCUUUAAUUAUAAGAGAAGGCUGCCCUAGAAAAUGGUUUGGUCACUGCCGCAGCUGGACUUCCAGAUGCAGCAGGCAAGAGCAGCCUUCAGAACAUCUGUACGAAGACACUGGCCUCCGGCCUGGCUGCCAUGUUGUGAGCUGCCCUAUGGAAAGGCACACGUGGCAAGGGGCAGAGGAAUUCAGCCAGCAGCCAGCAAGGACGUGAGGGCUGCCCGCAGCCUGGAGCAUGAUCUCGGAAGCGGAUCUUCUCCUACUCUCCCUGGCUGACCCCUUGAUUGAAACCUUGUGAUCCUGCGACACUCGGUGAAACUACUCCUGGAUUCUUAACCCACAGAAACUAUGAGUUAGUAAGUAUUUGUUGUUUUAAGCUGCCGAGUUUGGGGUUACCUUGUCACACAAGAACAGAUAACUAAAACCAUUCAUCUCAUUGAACCCAAUGGCAAUUCUUUGGAAAAAUGUCUACUUCCUCCCCAAACUAAAAUCCAUUAGACUUAGUAGUCAGGUGUUAGGCAGUGACUUUAUGAUGACGCAUAGCAGGACAUGGCAAGGUACUUAAAAGCACUGCUGGUUUGAAGAAGCAUCCCCUAACUUCUGUGGCAUCCUGUGUGCCUGCCUUCAGUUCCUGGGUUAGUCUUACAGUUACAGAUUUUUUUGCUCCAUCUCUCAACCAUGUUUCCAGCAUUUCCUCCACUUGGAUCCUAGUAAUCAACCUUGGCUGACCCCUAACACUCCACGUCCUGGACCACAAAAUAAACCCCAUCCUCUGAUCAUAGCUUCUUCAAGAUUAUGUUUACUCUUUGGUUUUGGCUCUGCUCAGAUUUUUUCGUGCCUUCCAGAGCAUUAUCCCUUUGUCCUACCUACUGAUGAAGCAAACCAUUUAUUUCUCAAAUAAUGCUAAAUAAGAUCAAGUCAUACUUGAAGUAAUUUAGUAGUGUAGGGUUUCUGGAGUUACUGAAUAAUGAGAGAAUUUUAUAGUAACUAUCAUUUUUAGUGGAUUAUAAAAUAACAAUGUCAUCAUUGCCAAUAAAUUUUGAAUAAGCUAUAAACAGUGGCCUAACAGUAAGUUUAGGUUCCUGAGAAUUAAAAGAUUAGAGUUCAUUCUAAAUCAUAUAAUAAUAGUUUUCUCCUUCAAAUCAAUACAGUGUUUUUCCUAAAAUGAAUGGAGGUGCUCUCUGAAUCAAGAAUUUGUCUUAUACUCACAAAAUAAUUAUGCAACAUAUAUUCACUGAAAAACUACAAAAGGCAAGGUGCUGGGAUAGGUUUUAUGGGAACAUAACAAAAAUGAAGCUAGAAAAGUAAGGGGAAAUAUUUUCAAGAACUUUUUCCUCCAACUGCCUACUCUGUUGUGAAAUAGUUUAGAAAAAUAUUUUUCUUCCUUACUCAUGUUUCACUUGAGACUUCAA